GCAGCGUUCGCGCCGGCAGCCCACAGACCACUGGAACGAUACGGAGAAGAUCAGCCGCGCCCUGCGCGAGGAUGACACGCAAAUUCGUGGAGCGUUGCAUAUUUUU